GAUGAACGCUGGCGGCGUGCUUAACACAUGCAAGUCGAACGAAGCACUUUAUUUGAUUUCCUUCGGGACUGAUUAUUUUGUGACUGAGUGGCGGACGGGUGAGUAACGCGUGGGUAACCUGCCUUGUACAGGGGGAUAACAGUUGGAAACGGCUGCUAAUACCGCAUAAGCGCACAGCAUCGCAUGAUGCAGUGUGAAAAACUCCGGUGGUAUAAGAUGGACCCGCGUUGGAUUAGCUAGUUGGUGAGGUAACGGCCCACCAAGGCGACGAUCCAUAGCCGCCCUGAGAGGGUGACCGGCCACAUUGGGACUGAGACACGGCCCAAACUCCUACGGGAGGCAGCAGUGGGGAAUAUUGCACAAUGGGCGAAAGCCUGAUGCAGCGACGCCGCGUGAGCGAAGAAGUAUUUCGGUAUGUAAAGCUCUAUCAGCAGGGAAGAUAAUGACGGUACCUGACUAAGAAGCACCGGCUAAAUACGU
rnacentral:rRNA from 1 species